rnacentral:misc_RNA from 1 species
AGCAACAACAACAACAGCAUAGUGGUAAUCCACAGCAGUCGCAACAGCAGCAGCUUCCUCAGCACUCACUUUCUGGUCAGCAACCACAGAGUUCAAAUCACAGUCUACAACAGGAUAAAAUUAUGGGCAGUGGCACAGGAGAUGGAAGCAUGUCAAAUUCUUUUCGUGGAAAUGAUCAGGCUUCAAAAAACCAGACUGGGAGGAAAAGAAAACACCCUGUUUCAUCUUCGGGUCCCGCCAACAGCUCAGGAACUGCAAACACCGCUGGACCUUCCCCAAGUUCUGCUCCUUCAACGCCAUCAACUCACACACCUGGAGAUGUGAUUUCAAUGCCUGUCUUACAACAUAGUGGAAGUUCUUCAAAGCCAUUGAUGAUGUUUGGAGCAGAUAAUAAUGGAACUCUCACGUCGCCAUCAAAUCAAUUGUGGGAUGACAAAGAUUUUG